GAGCUGACAAGGUUUAUGGAAAAGAAUCCGUUUUAAACCCCUCACAGUUUGGAAAAGCCGGAAGUGUGGAUUGAAGUCCUGAAGUUGUUGCAGCUUAGAGAUUAUGGACGUCUGUUCUCCAAGACUGUGUCAUGGCCACCAUCCUAUCAGCGUCCAAUAAGAAAACCUCAUCACCACUGGAGAUUGUGUGUGUGGCCCUUUCCCCACUGAAGACUGGUGAACAUGAGCAACGUUUCCGGCUCUUUUGGCUUUGUCAUUUGAAGAAAGGUACAGGUGCAACAGUAAGGUCAUGGUCGCCUGUGGUGGAUUUGGGAGGGAAUCCUGCAGUGGGAGCUCCUGAGGAAGCCAGCAAGUUACUGGUAACAUGUACUGCUCCCCUUUGGACCAACUGAAAGCACCAUCCAAGCAAUAGAGCCUGGAAUCUGUCAGCAGAAGACACGUGAG